rnacentral:rRNA from 1 species
GGAACGCUGGCGCUGUGCUUUACACAUGCAAGUCGAACGAGGUAGCAAUACCUAGUGGCGGACGGUGAGUAACGCGUGUGAAAUCUGCCCAAGGUGUGGGGGAUAACUAACCGAAAGGUUAGCUAAUACCGCAUAUGCCGUGAGGUAAAAGGAGUAAUCCGCCCCUGGAUGAGCCUGCGUCCGAUUAGCUUGUUGGUAGGGUAAAAGCCUACCAAGGCUACGAUCGGUAGCUGGUCUGAGAGGAUGAUCAGCCACAAUGGGACUGAGACACGGCCCAUACUCCUACGGGAGGCAGCAGUGGGGAAUUUUACGCAAUGGGGGAAACCCUGACGUAGCGACACCGCGUGAGCGAAGAAGCCCUUUGGGGUGUAAAGCUCUGUCAGCAGGGACGAAAAAAAUGACGGUACCUGCAGAGGAAGCAUCGGCUAACUACGUGCCAGCAGCCGCGGUAAGACGUAGGAUGCAAGCGUUGUCCGGAUUCAUUGGGCGUACAGAGUUCGUAGGCGGUUUGUUAAGUCUGAUGUUAAAGAUCAGGGCCCAACCCUGAGAGUGCAUUGGAUACUGGCAGACUGGAAGUGCAGAAAAGGCAAGUGGAAUCCCAGUA